rnacentral:rRNA from 1 species
UACAGAGGGUGCGAGCGUUAAUCGGAAUUACUGGGCGUAAAGGGCGCGUAGGCGGUAUGGCAAGUGAGAUGUGAAAUCCCUGGGCUUAACCUAGGAAUGGCAUUUUAGACUGUGAUACUAGAGGUCAGUAGAGGGUAGUGGAAUUUCCGGUGUAGCGGUGAAUGCGUAGAGAUCGGAAGGAACACCAGUGGCGAAGGCGACUACCUGGACUGAAUCUGACGCUGAGGCGCGAAAGCGUGGGGAGCAAACGGG